AUUGAACGCUGGCGGCAGGCCUAACACAUGCAAGUCGAACGGUAACAGGAAGCAGCUUGCUGCUUUGCUGACGAGUGGCGGACGGGUGAGUAAUGUCUGGGAAACUGCCCGAUGGAGGGGGAUAACUACUGGAAACGGUAGCUAAUACCGCAUAACGUCGCAAGACCAAAGAGGGGGACCUUAGGGCCUCUUGCAAUCGGAUGUGCCCAGAUGGGAUUAGCUAGUAGGUGGGGUAACGGCUCACCUAGGCGACGAUCCCUAGCUGGUCUGAGAGGAUGACCAGCCACACUGGAACUGAGACACGGUCCAGACUCCUACGGGAGGCAGCAGUGGGGAAUAUUGCACAAUGGGCGCAAGCCUGAUGCAGCCAGGCCGCGUGUAUGAAGAAGGCCUUCGGGUUGUAAAGUACUUUCAGCGGGGAGGAAGGGAGUAAGUUAAUACCUUUGCUCAUUGACGUUACCCGCAGAAGAAGCACCGGCUAACUCCGUG
rnacentral:rRNA from 1 species